CAGCCGCCGCGGGAAUACAGAGGGUGCAAGCGUUAAUCGGAAUUACUGGGCGUAAAGCGCGCGUAGGUGGUUCGCCAAGUUGGAUGUGAAAUCCCCGGGCUCAACCUGGGAACUGCAUCCAAAACUGGCGAGCUAGAGUAUGGUAGAGGGUGGUGGAAUUUCCUGUGUAGCGGUGAAAUGCGUAGAUAUAGGAAGGAACACCAGUGGCGAAGGCGACCACCUGGACUGAUACUGACACUGAGGUGCGAAAGCGUGGGGAGCAAACAGGAUUAGAUACCCGUGUAGUCCCUGUCUCUUAUAC
rnacentral:rRNA from 1 species